UGUUACAAUCUGUACAUAUCCAUUUGUAUUUGAUGCCCAAGCAAAAACUACUCUGUUACAGACCGAUGCAGUCUUACAGAUGCAGAUGGCUAUUGAUCAGGCCCACAGGCAGAAUGUCUCCUCUCUUUUUCUCCCAGUGAUUGAAUCUGUGAAUCCCUGCUUAAUUCUAGUGGUGCGUAGAGAAAAUAUUGUAGGAGAUGCAAUGGAAGUCCUUAGGAAAACAAAGAACAUAGAUUACAAGAAGCCACUCAAGGUAA
rnacentral:lncRNA from 1 species